rnacentral:rRNA from 1 species
AAGCGGGAAGAGCUCAAGAUUUAUAAUCUGGCACCUUCGGUGUCCGAGUUGUAAUCUCUAGAAAUGUUUUCCGCGUUGGACCGCACACAAGUCUGUUGGAAUACAGCGGCAUAGUGGUGAGACCCCCGUAUAUGGUGCGGACGCCCAGCGCUUUGUGAUACAUUUUCGAAGAGUCGAGUUGUUUGGGAAUGCAGCUCAAAUUGGGUGGUAAAUUCCAUCUAAAGCUAAAUAUUGGCGAGAGACCGAUAGCGAACAAGUACCGUGAGGGAAAGAUGAAAAGCACUUUGGAAAGAGAGUUAACAGUACGUGAAAUUGUUGGAAGGGAAACGCUUGAAGUCAGACUUGCUUGCCGAGCAAUCGGUUUGCAGGCCAGCAUCAGUUUUCCGGGAUGGAUAAUGGUAGAGAGAAGGUAGCAGUUUCGGCUGUGUUAUAGCUCUCUGCUGGAUACAUCUUGGGGGACUGAGAACGCAGUGUGCCUUUGGCGGGGGUUUCGAACUCUUCACACUUAGGAUGCUUGUGGAAUGGCUUUAAACGAGCCGUCUUGAAAC